rnacentral:ncRNA from 2 species
AUUAGCGCCCACGUUACAGGUGUUCUUGGCUUUGUCCAUUUGCUAAGAAUGAAACGGGAAGUUGGUGAAGGCUGUUUGUUAAAGCAGUGAAUAAGUCCAACGCUGCCCCCGCAACGGUAAUUGAGUAACAGGACUAGCUCUCGCCACUGUGUAAUUAAUACAUGGGAAGGCGCUAGUUCUACUGACAGUGAUCAGAUGCUCAUAAGCCCGGAGACCGGCCUGAGAACUUAAUUUAAG